AUGCUUAACACAUGCAAGUCGAACGGAAACGAUGGAAGCUUGCUUCCGGGCGUCGAGUGGCGGACGGGUGAGUAAUACUUGGGAAUCUGCCCAUUAGUUGGGGAAAACACGGGGAAACUCGUGCUAAUACCGAAUAAUCUCUACGGAGGAAAGGGGACCUCUAUUUAUAAGUUCUCGCUAAUGGAUGAGCCCAAGGAAGAUUAGCUAGUUGGUAAGGUAAUGGCUUACCAAGGCUACGAUCUUUAGCUGGUCUUAGAGGAUGAUCAGCCACACUGGGACUGAGACACGGCCCAGACUCCUACGGGAGGCAGCAGUAGGGAAUAUUGCACAAUGGGGGAAACCCUGAUGCAGCAAUACCGCGUGUGUGAAGAAGGCUUUCGGGUUGUAAAGCACUUUCAAUAGAGAAGAAAAGCUUAGGGUUAAUACCUCUAAGUGUUGACGUUAUCUAUACAAGAAGCACCGGCUAAUUCCGUGCCAGCAGCCGCGGUAAUACGGAAGGUGCGAGCGUUAAUCGGAAUUACUGGGCGUAAAGAGUACGUAGGCUGUUAGAUAAGUCGGAUGUGAAAUCCCCGGGCUCAACCUGGGAACUGCAUCCGAAACUAUUUAACUAGAGUAUGGGAGAGGUAAGUAGAAUUUCCGGUGUAGCGGUGAAAUGCGUAGAUAUCGGAAGGAACACCAGUGG
rnacentral:rRNA from 1 species